rnacentral:misc_RNA from 1 species
UUGUGAUAAUAAUGCAGAUACUCAUUUUGAGGUAUGGGUGAUGAAAGAAUACGGAGUUACCGAUUCAUGGGUUAAACAGAUUGUCAUAAACAUAACUCCUGAAUGCAACAAUUAUUGGUUGUGCUAUGAAAUGAUUAAUCUGGUGAUAGUUUUGGAUGACGGAGAAGUGUUGUUCUUGUGGCGCGAUGAUUUCUUGUUCUUGCACCAUCCUGUGAAGAACACAUUGAAA